UUUCCCAUUAAAUUGCUGCCAUACCAUUUUAAAGUGGAAUGAGCAGUUAUACGCGUGGGAUAAAUUAAUGCCAGUCCUCUAUAGUUACUGUGCUGAGAUAGUAAAUGUCUCAGCUUUAUCUGUGGACAUGAACAUAC
rnacentral:snoRNA from 1 species